GACGUAGGAGGCGAGCGUUAUCCGGAUUCACUGGGCGUAAAGCGCAUGUAGGCGGUUGCACAAGUCCGUUGUUAAAGCCCCUGGCUCAACUGGGGGAGGUCAAUGGAGACUGUGCGACUUGAGGGCAAUAGAGGCACGUGGAACUCCCGGUGUAGCGGUGGAAUGCGUAGAGAUCGGGAAGAACACCAGUGGCGAAGGCGAC
rnacentral:rRNA from 1 species